GGGAAUGUGUCAAAGAGACAACAACCAGACCAUAGAGCAGACAACAGCAGAAGGUCACCAACAGGUCUUCAAUGUAGCGAGAAAUUUCCGCACCCGGAGGCGUCCUUCAACUGGCCCCUAAACAAAUAUAUACUAGUUCAGUGAUAAUGAACGCCAUACUAAUUUCCAAAUUGUACACAAGAAACUAAAAUUAAAAUAAUACAAGACUAACAAAGGCCAGAGGCUCCUGACUUGGGACAGGCGCAAAAAUGCGACGGGGUUAAACAUGUUUGUGAGAUCUCAACCCUCCCCCUAUACCUCUAGCCAAUGUAGAAAAGUAAACGCAUAACAAUACGCAC
rnacentral:lncRNA from 1 species